rnacentral:rRNA from 1 species
UACGAAGGGGGCUAGCGUUGUUCGGAAUCACUGGGCGUAAAGGGCGCGUAGGCGGCUUUGUAAGUCGGGGGUAAAAGCCUGUGGCUCAACCACAGAAUUGCCUUCGAUACUGCAUGGCUUGAGACCGGAAGAGGUAAGUGGAACUGCGAGUGUAGAGGUGAAAUUCGUAGAUAUUCGCAAGAACACCAGUGGCGAAGGCGGCCCACUGGUCCGGAUCUGACGCUGAGGCGCGAAAGCGUGGGGAGCAAACAGG